CCUAACACAUGCAAGUCGAACGGUAACAGGAAGAAGCUUGCUUCUUUGCUGACGAGUGGCGGACGGGUGAGUAAUGUCUGGGAAACUGCCUGAUGGAGGGGGAUAACUACUGGAAACGGUAGCUAAUACCGCAUAACGUCGCAAGACCAAAGAGGGGGACCUUCGGGCCUCUUGCCAUCGGAUGUGCCCAGAUGGGGUUAGCUAGUAGGUGGGGUAACGGCUCACCUAGGCGACGAUCCCUAGCUGGUCUGAGAGGAUGACCAGCCACACUGGAACUGAGACACGGUCCAGACUCCUACGGGAGGCAGCAGUGGGGAAUAUGGCACAAUGGGCGCAAGCCUGAUGCAGCCAUGCCGCGUGUAUGAAGAAGGCCUUCGGGUUG
rnacentral:rRNA from 1 species